UUCAACCCUAUCCUCUCCUGACGAGAUCUGAAGCCGCCGGGCAGCAGCGCUCCCCCCUCCCCCAAGUACCAGGAGAAGAUGAGCUUGUAGCGUGGACUCAUGUAUUAAAGCUUUACCAGCUUUCAUAGAUCCGGAUGGUUUUGAAGUGAUAGCUGGCUUGACUUUGCUUUUCUUCAAAGCAUCUUGACAGACCAAAAUCCGUAAUUUUUGGCACCAUGUUUUCGUCUAGCAAUAUAUUUGCAGGUUUUAGGUCUAAGUGAAGGAUAUCGAUCUCUGUGAAUAUAUUGUAAACCUUCACAAAUUCCCUUGAUUAUUUCAUAGCGCUAUUUUAAAAGAAAUUAUUUGGCAUUUGGCAUUGUCCAACAUGCAUAUCUAUGACUUGAGAAGUUUAAAGAAAUACAGUCAUUGGAUAUUGUGUUUGACUUAGAAAGAAAGAUGGAAAAGUUAAACAAAAAGUUGCGAAGGCAGAUGAAUGCUUUGCUUAUGCAUAAUCCAUAUUGAUAAAGUGCUAUGGAAUGAUCAAGGAAUUUGUGAGGUUUACAUUAUCUUCGCAAGAGUUGUAUUGUUCACUUAGACCUAGACAUGCAAGUAUAUUUCUAGGCGAAAAUAUAAUGUUAAAAAUUGCGGAUUUUUGGCUCUCAAGUUGCUUGGAGGAAAAUCAAAGCCAGGCUAUUGCUUCAAAACAGUUUGGAUCUAUGUAUGAAAGAAGGGACAUUGAUGAACUGGGUUGGAUUUACUUUGACAUCAGGUAUUUGUAUAUCAUAAUCUAUGAACUUGUUUGCAUGUUAACAUCAGGUAUGUGUAUAUCAUAAUCUAUGAUUGCAAUACGCACCUGCAACUUAGGGAAUAGGUUGGAGAAAUCAUGGGAAAGUAUGCACAUCAGUUGAUAAAACAGAAAACACAAAUAGGUCUAUUCAGACAUCAGGUGUGCUGGUAAGCUCACUUAUGGUCCAUGACAUGCUCCACUAACCUCUUUUUUUAGAGCCUAGUGUACAUCUAUUGGUACUCCGAGCUGGUGGAGGAAGUCAAAUGUCGUUAGUUGUCAAAUAGGAAAAUGUUUCAAUGAACUGUAAAUAUUUGGAGGAAGCCUUUAUAGUUUCUUGCACAAAGAGUAUCACAUAUGGAUGCUAUAAGUAUUAUUUUGGAGGAUAUUUGUUUCUACAUACUGUGUUUUCUGUUUUGUUAUAUCGUGCCUGCACAUUAUAAAGACACUGUGGCUAGAUCGUUGUUAAGGUGCAGAACUCCAUUUAGCUUAGUAGUGGAUUUAUACUGGGUCUGAGAUAUUUAAUCACUAGUUGAAACAAUUCCAGUUUGUGUAUUUAUAAUGAUCUGCAUUCAGUUGUUUGUAAAAUGUUCCAUGCAAUAGUAUAUGCUAAUUUUGUAACAACUAAUGGCAAGGAAAGAAGCCCUAUCUCUUUUCAUCUCUUGCUUCUGUAUGCGCAGGUCAUAAAUGAUCAGCCUAUGGUAACGAAGUAGUAGAUGUGUACAGUUCUGCUGUUGUACUUCGCAAGCUCAGUUAACAGACGAAUCCCUGUCCAGGCUAAGAUUUCCAUGUUUUGCGCUCUUGGUUGAUACAAGGAGCAAACAUGAGGGUUCAGGGGAGACAAGCCAGGAAGGAUGGAUGACCUAGCAGUGAAGAUUGGCCGGCCCCUCUGCUCGUACUCCAUGAGUUCCUACUAUUUGGAGACAAGCUAGGAAAGAUGGAUGACCUAAAGAUUGGCUGGCCCUACGCCAUGGCAGUUCCUCCGUGAAUGAGGAUCGGGGUUGAUGGCAUUAUUAGAGGAAAUGCAUCUUGAGCACGGGCUGUUUUCGUCUAGGAACUGAUUUUCGUGGUCUUCCAGUUUCCACUAGAGCUCUAGGCUGGUGUAUCUCACAUAGAGCAAACUGGAGUGACCUUCCCGUGUGAUCCUUCGGUGUGAUCCUUUAUUUUACCACCUCAAUUUUCAUGUGAGAUGUACAUUGACUAUUGUUCUUUGUUUCUGCGAAAACUCUGUUCAUUCAAA